AGCGAACGCUGGCGGCAGGCCUAACACAUGCAAGUCGAGCGCGUGUAGCAAUACACGAGCGGCAGACGGGUGAGUAACACGUGGGAACGUGCCCUUUGGUUCGGAAUAACUCAGGGAAACUUGAGCUAAUACCGGAUAAGUCCGUAAGGAGAAAGAUUUAUCGCCGAAGGAGCGGCCCGCGUCCGAUUAGCUAGUUGGUGGGGUAAUGGCCCACCAAGGCUACGAUCGGUAGCUGGUCUGAGAGGAUGACCAGCCACACUGGGACUGAGACACGGCCCAGACUCCUACGGGAGGCAGCAGUGGGGAAUAUUGGACAAUGGGCGCAAGCCUGAUCCAGCCAUGCCGCGUGGGUGAUGAAGGCCCUAGGGUUGUAAAGCCCUUUCGGCGGGGAAGAUAAUGACGGUACCCGCAGAAGAAGCCCCGGCUAACUUCGUGCCAGCAGCCGCAGUAA
rnacentral:rRNA from 1 species